AACUCUCAUAAUUGAAAGCAAUGUGUAAUGACUAAUGAAGCAAGUUUUGCCAAAAAUAAUGUUGUUCCAAUCUUGUGAAACACAGCUUUUCCUCUGAAAGAUAAAAGAGAUGAGUGAUGAGGGAAGCAAAUAAAGACAAUCCACUUCUUUUUCAUUUUUCCAAGGUUUUGUUAGGCUGGUCUGUUAAGUGAUUCAAUUUUCAAUUCCACAGAGCUGCUCAUGAAGCAGGAGCUGCCACUGCAAUUGUAAAUAUAGGUGAGACGCGAGCUGAUGAUUUAGUGCCUUUGAAAAUCAACGCUCGACUGGGAGAGAUCUUGCCGAGAGUGCUCAACUUUGGAUCCCUCAGCAUCCCAUCCCUCAAUUGAUGCUACAUAAGAAAAUGUUUUCAGAGAUGUAAUUAUAUAUAUAACACUACUACAUAUUAAUAUACUUAAUUUUUUAUUCUAUUAAAAUAAUUACAAAUUUUUAAAUUUUAAUGGGGUACUCAUGGUCGUGGGUACCCUAAUGGGUCCUAUAAUUGUACUCUACUAGAUAUAAUCCAUAAGGUAGUGCCGUGGAAUAGAUAGUCUAAUCUCGUCUGUUGUAAUCCUUGUGAUUGCUCUUUCGAUCAAUAUCUUCUUUUUAUUUUCAAUGUUGAUAUUUAUAAAUUGUUAUCAAGGUAUUAUAUACCCAUCCCA